GGGCGGAUAGCUCAGCGGGAGAGCGCCUCCCUUACAAGGAGGAGGUCAACGGUUCGACCCCGUUUCCGCCCACCA
rnacentral:tRNA from 1 species